rnacentral:rRNA from 1 species
CAUAGCGACUAUCGUGGCAUAUCAAUAAGCGGAGGAAAAGAAACUAACUAGGAUUCCCUUAGUAACGGCGAGUGAAGCGGGAAGAGCUCAAAUUUGAAAUCUUCAAGGUUUUACCUUGACGAAUUGUAGUUUAAAGAAGUGUUUUCUGUUGGAGUUUUGGUAAAAGUUCUUUGGAAUAGGACAUCAUAGAGGGUGAGAAUCCCGUAUUUGACCAUUAUUUCCAGCUGUGUGAUACACUUUCAAAGAGUCGGAUUGUUUGGGAAUGCAGUCCAAAAUGGGUGGUAAAUUUCAUCUAAAGCUAAAUAUUGGCGAGAGACCGAUAGCGAACAAGUACCGUGAGGGAAAGAUGAAAAGAACUUUGAAAAGAGAGUUAAACAGUACGUGAAAUUGUCAAAAGGGAAGCGUUUGACACCAGUGUUGUUUUCUCGAAAAUCAAUUAAAAAUGAUGGGAUUUUGUGUUGUAUUGACUUUAUCAGCUUUCUGCACUUUUUUCUUAUCUUUUUUAAUGCACUUUUCGUUUAACAAGUCAACAUCAGUUUCUUUUGUUGUAAAAGGGUCAUUGGAAGGUGGCUUUCUUUUCGGAGAAAGUGUUUAUAGCCUUUGAUCUCUGCAACCGGAGAGACUGAGGUCUGCAGCGUAGACUCUUCGGGGUUAGAUACAUUUGUGCUAAGCUAUAGCUUUUUAUAGACAACUUGUUGACUAUAUUUAGUCUUGUGGCUUACUCGCUUAUGCUAUUUUACCUACGCUUAGGAUGUUGACGCGCGUGUGUGCGUG